rnacentral:rRNA from 1 species
UACAGAGGUCUCAAGCGUUGUUCGGAUUCAUUGGGCGUAAAGGGUGCGUAGGUGGCGAUGUAAGUUUGGUGUGAAAUUUUGGGGCUCAACCUCAAAACUGCAUUGAAUACUGCAUUGCUUGAGGAUUGUAGAGGAGAGUGGAAUUCACGGUGUAGCAGUGAAAUGCGUAGAUAUCGUGAGGAAGACCAGUUGCGAAGGCGACUCUCUGGGCAAUUCCUGACACUGAGGCACGAAGGCCAGGGGAGCAAACGGG